rnacentral:lncRNA from 1 species
AACUUAUUACAUGACCUCUAUUUGUAUUCCUACUAAGCAAAUGCUUCUCAAGUAUCCCUGACCAAUUUCAUUAGUAUAGAAACAUGUUAGCGUUGUUCAAAUGCAUAUGAAUGGGCUCAAUGUAUGUCCAACCCAGUUAUUUAUUUCAAAGAUUGUUAACUAUAUUUCCUAAUACGAGAAGUUGAUUAGAAGCACAUAUUAUUCAUCCAAACUUCCCCUACAAUUCUAUACUGCCACUCGCCUCCAAAAUUGAAAUUGUGAGUUUCCUCACUUUAAUUACAACAACAUAUGAAAAAUAAUUGGAUUACAUAUUUAUCAUGUUAUUAUAUUAUAGAUUAUAGUCACUCAACAGUCGAAACAUAAUAUAAAGAAUGAUCUCUAAGUUUCAAACGGCAUUGUACUUGUGACGACUGAAAGUAGGUUCUCCAUUUUGGAGGGAAAAUGGAGUAUGGCUGGUGGUAUUUCAUUUCCAUUUUGGAGAUAUGGAUCAGGAUAGGAAAUGAUGUCACAUAGAGCAGCCAAGCAGCUCCAAAGUGAAAGAAUAAAUGAAAUACAAGAGGAAAAGAAAAUUACGAAAUAAUUUAAUAACAUAUAGCAAACUAAGAAUACAAAAUGAAAAACCGCAUGAAAGCUGCGUCUAUACCCCACAAAAUACAUAGUGAUUAAAGAACUCACAUAAUUAGGAGAAUUGGCAAUAUCAACCAAAAAAAGUAACCAUACGCAGUCCAAAUUUGAAAUGAUAAAGAAAACGAAUAACAAAUCACCCACCUCUCAUGCUGCUCUAUCUCUAAGGUCUGACAUGCCUUGUAAAAUUCAUAAAAGCAGCGACUCCAAACAAGCACCAUGAUGUGUAGAUUUUGGGGAAUGGUAUUAAAUGGACAGUAUCUAUUAUGAUUUCCACUGGGCUUCAUGUACGGACACGAAACGAUAAAGAAACGCCCCAUUAACAAGAAGGCAGGGAUGCAACAAGGGUCAUUACCCAUUAACAUUUUGGGCGAAAACCCCCGAACUGAUUGGCCCGCAGAACAGUUUCACACAACUAGUUAGCUCGAAACACACUGACAAGAGUUCCACCUUAUCCAAGCUCAAACCGCAAUAUCAACCGAGCUAUUAUUAAGAGGCAGACCACACCUCCAGUCGCGUUUGAGUUCGGGCGAGAGAGAAACAUAAGUCCACAGGAAUCCCAAGGAUGACAUGCGGACAACAGAAAUUUGAACGGCAUGGGUACGUCUGACACCAAAACCCGGACGUGGAAGAUUUACGGCAGUAGGGAGGGGAUAGCCAACGCUCUUGAAGAAUAAGGGUUAGGUGAACUGACCGUUGAUGGAUAGACUGUUGGCGGAAGGACGUUCAGAUACGCGCCGGGAUUGAACGAUAUAAGCCGAAGUGACUGUAAAAAAGGAAAAAAAGGGGUUAGAGGUUCUUUUUUUCCUCUCUAUUCCCCUCUCCUUCUCUCUCUCUCUCUCUUCUCCUCGCGAUAAGAAAUUUCAAUCACGGUCAUCUAACUUGACCAUCGGGAACCGUUUCCGAAAAAAGAAAAAGCUCCGGCGGCCGUACUCACCGUACCUGUGUGCAAGUAAAAAAGGGAAAGGCUUUACCGUGUGGGUGUCUAAUUUCGAUUUCCUCAUUGUAAAGAUACCCCUACACUUCCCAUUCGGAUUAUGAUUCGUAAAAACUGGGGGAGUAUGUAUUUCUCCACCAGAACUCAUACGAAUUAAAAUCCUUUUUUUGGGUAAUUGGGAAUUAGAACCCUCCAAAAUACCAAACUGCUAGCUAGGCUCAUAAGAAAAAGAAAAGAAAUGCACUGGAAUCGAAAAACUCAGUAGUCUUGGGAAUGCACUGGAAUCAAAUUCCUUGCUUAUCAAUCCAUCUCCGAACACGAACCUCCUCGCGGAAAAACCCAAGUGAGUAUGCAAACUAAAUCAAUCUCUUUUUUUUUUACGGAACCCAGAUAAUCUCAUAUUGAAUGUCUUUUAUACAGCUGACUAUGUAAUUGUCUGCCUUCAGUUGGUGUCCAAUUACUCUGUUUUCUUCUUAAUCAAAUGCACUGAUGUCAUAGAAUGGUUUCCGCCCAUUUUGAGUAUGUAAUUGUUAGUUUUAGUCGCUAUCGAAGUAAUUAGCUUCUUUUUUCUCACCAAAUGUAGAGCUCUCUGCCCACCAAACCACAACCAAAUGCCGCACACCAGCUUCUUGCAAAAGAACCCAAGUACGUAACCCAAAAUAAUCUAUUUUUUUAAUAACCCAAAUAAUCUCAUAUUGAAUGUAUUUCGUGCAACCAAGUAUGUUUGUUUUCCUUUCCUGUUCAACUGAGUAUGUGAUCGAAGAGUUAAUAUUACUUCUCUUUUUUAUAUAGUUGAGUUGCCAGUGUGGUUGAACCUUUAUUAAGUCAAUGUUAGGAUUCCAAUUAGACCUUUAGGUAUAUUAUAACCUUAGAAUGUAACAUGCCUCCUUUUGUAUACCGGUAGUACUUGCAUCCGCUUGGUGCUUCUUUAUGUAAUGC